rnacentral:rRNA from 1 species
GUGCUGCAUGGCUGUCGUCAGCUCGUGUCGUGAGAUGUUGGGUUAAGUCCCGCAACGAGCGCAACCCUUGUCCUUAGUUGCUACGCAAGAGCACUCUAGGGAGACUGCCGGUGACAAACCGGAGGAAGGUGGGGAUGACGUCAAGUCCUCAUGGCCCUUAUGGGUAGGGCUUCACACGUCAUACAAUGGUCGGUACAGAGGGCUGCCAAACCGCGAGGUGGAGCUAACCCCAGAAAACCGAUCGUAGUCCGGAUCGCAGUCUGCAACUCGACUGCGUGAAGCUGGAAUCGCUAGUAAUCGCGGAUCAGCAUGUCGCGGUGAAUACGUUCCCGGGUCUUGUACACACCGCCCGUCACACCAUGGGAGUGGGUUUUGCCAGAAGUAGGUAGCCUAACCGUAAGGAGGGCGCUUACCACGGCAGGAUUCAUGACUGGGGUGAAGUCGUAACAA